rnacentral:rRNA from 1 species
CAGAUGAUAGCUUCGGCAGGAUCAGAUGAUUCCAGCGGCGGACGGGUGAGUAACGCGUGAGCAAUCUGUCCCAGACAGGGGGAUAACACUUGGAAACAGGUGCUAAUACCGCAUAAGACCACGAGGUCACAUGAUCUUGAGGUAAAAGGAGCAAUCCGGUUUGGGGUGAGCUCGCGUCCGAUUAGCUAGUUGGCGAGGUAACGGCCCACCAAGGCGACGAUCGGUAGCCGACCUGAGAGGGUGAUCGGCCACAUUGGAACUGAGACACGGUCCAAACUCCUACGGGAGGCAGCAGUGGGGAAUAUUGGGCAAUGGGCGAAAGCCUGAACCCCCAGCAACGCCGCGUGAGGGAAGAAGGUUUUCGGAUCGUAAACCUCUGUCCUUGGUGAAGAGAGAGAGACGGUAGCCAAGGAGGAAGCCCCGGCUAACUACGUGCCAGCAGCAGC